rnacentral:rRNA from 1 species
UACGUAGGGUGCGAGCGUUGUCCGGAAUUAUUGGGCGUAAAGAGCUUGUAGGCGGUUUGUCGCGUCUGCCGUGAAAAUUCGAGGCUCAACCUCGAACUUGCGGUGGGUACGGGCAGACUAGAGUGUGGUAGGGGAGACUGGAAUUCCUGGUGUAGCGGUGAAAUGCGCAGAUAUCAGGAGGAACACCGGUGGCGAAGGCGGCAUCCUGGACCACGACUGACGCUGAGUGAGCGAAAGCCAGGGGAGCAAACGGG